rnacentral:rRNA from 1 species
AUGGCACGGCAGCAGCUGCAGGUGCUUCACGCGCUGGACGUGGCGAGGACGCAGAGGUACCACGCGUGGGCGGUGGUGAUCGCCGGCAUGGGCUUCUUCGCCGACGCCUACGACAUCUUCUGCAUCACCCUAGUCACCAAGCUCCUCGGACGCAUCUAUUACCAAGUCCCGGGCCAACGAGAGCCCGGGAUGCUCCCCCGGCGGAUCGAGGCGGCCAUCAACGGCGUCACCUUCUGCGGCAUGAUCGUGGGCCAGCUCUUGUUUGGCUGGCUCGGCGACAAGGUCGGCCGGAAGAUGUUCUACGGCAAGACCAUCAUGCUCAUGAUCAUGGGCUCCUUCCUCUCCGGCUUGUCGUUCGGGAACACGGCCGACGGCGUUAUGGCCACGCUCUGCUUCUUCCGCUUCUGGCUCGGCGUCGGCAUCGGCGGAGACUAUCCGCUCUCCGCGACCAUCAUUUCCGAGUACUCCAACAAGAGGACGCGCGGGAGCCUCAUCGCGGCCGUGUUUGCCAUGGAAGGGUUUGGCAUCCUUGCAGGUUGCAUUGUCACCUUGGUCGUCUCCGCCACGUUCCAGGCGCGCUUCAACCCUCCGGCGUACGCAGAAGACCACAUGGCCUCGGUCCCGCCGCAGGCUGACUACGUGUGGCGCAUCAUCCUCAUGGUGGGCGCCAUCCCAGCCGUCUUCACCUACCGCUGGAGGGUGAUGAUGCCGGAGACGGCGCGCUAUACGGCGCUGGUCGCGCGCGACGCCGAGAAGGCCGCGCGCGACAUGUCCAAGGUGCUCAAGGUGGAAUUCAGCGGCGAGCAGGACAAGAUCGAGGGCUUCACCAAGGACAGGGACUACGGCGUCUUCUCCCGCCGUUUCGCCCGCCGCCACGGCUGGCAUCUCGUCGGCGCCGUUGCGUCCUGGUUCGUGCUCGACAUCGUCUUCUACUCCCAGAUCAUUCUCCAGGAGGAGAUCUUCAGGGACAUCAAGUGGAUCCCCGAGGCAAACAGCAUGAGCGCGCUCGAGGAAGCGUACCGCGUCGCCCGUGCGCAGGCGAUCAUCGCGCUCUGCGGCACACUACCUGGCUACUGGUUCACCAUCGCCUUUGUGGACGUCGUCGGGCGGAAGGCCAUCCAGUUCCUCGGCUUCACCAUGAUGAAGGGUCUCAUGCUCGUCGUGGCCGGCUUCUACCACCAACUGACGCAGCCUGGCCGGCGAAUCUGGCUGGUGGUCAUGUACGCCUUCACCUUCUUCUUUGCCAACUUCGGGCCCAACAGCAUCACCUUCAUCAUACCGGCCGAGAUUUUUCCGGCGCACGUCCGGACGACUUGCCACGGGAUAUCAUCAGCGGCAGGCAAGGUCGGCGCCAUUGUCGGGACGUUUGGCUUCCUGUACGCCUCGCAGAGGGCGGACGGCAGCAAUGAGACGGAGACCGGGUACCCGUCGGGUAUCGGCGUGCGUGCCUCACUGUUCGUGCUGGCCGCGUGCAAUGUGUUGGGAAUAAUUUUCACCUGUCUCCUGCCUGAGCCGAACGGGAGGUCGCUGGAGGAGGUGUCCGGCGAGCCCAUCAACGGAGAGGACGCAGAUUUGGGUGAUUCCAAGGUUCUUCCCUUGUAG